CGGGAGAAUCCAUGGGAGGGCACACGCACGGGUCGUAUGGGGGCAGUUGGGUUGUUGCCGCGACGGGAGCCGCGAGGGGGUGGUAGGGGGUUGGGGAGGCCACCAUGGAUCUGUAAAGCCCUGGUCGGUCCAGCGGCGGAGACGGAGGGCUAGGAGGUGUUUGGGCGAAUUCCACCCAUGCAGUGUCGGGGGUUAACGCACUCACACGCUCCGGCGUGGGUGCGGACGACCCCCCAACUUGUAAACGCAAAGGAAGUGGACGGGGACCCCGCACCCAGCGCUGGAGCAUGUGUUUGAAUUCGAAGCGACGCCCAGCACCUGACGAUUUAGUGACAUAUCUCGCAUAUCCUAGAGAUAGGUGUAUCCCUUCGGGGCAAGGAGCCAGGUGGGACAUGGUUGUCGUCAGCUCCCCUCAAGAGAUGUUGGGUUAUGUCCCGUAACGAGCGCAACCCUUAUCAUUAGUUCCCAGCAUUCAGUGGGGGAGUGUUAUGAGACUGCCGCCGCCACACCGGAGGAAGGUGGGGAUGACUUCUCAUCAUCAAGCCCCUUAUGAACUGGGCUACACACGUGCUACAAUGGAUGGUACAACGAGCGGCGACCCCACGAGAGCUAGCGAAUGUCUCCAAGCCAUUCUCACUUUGGAUAGUUGUGUUCAACUGGGCGCGCCAGUAGCAGGACUCUGGUAUUAAUUGUGGAUCAGCACGCACACGCGGGACACAUUGCCCGUGUCCUGUACACACCCCCCCCUCAAGGGGGGAUUUUUUUAUACACCCACGAGGAGUCCCCCUAGUGGGGGGGUUUUGAGGUCGUGUCUGCC
rnacentral:rRNA from 1 species